UUUAAGAUGGUAUAGAUAAAUUGUCUGGGUCAGCGUGUGAGUUGAUUUAUUAAUUAUUUUUUUGAAAUUAUCGGCUAACUCUGUGCCAGUAGCCGUGGUAAUAAAGGAUGCACGCGUUAUCCGGAAUGAUUGGGCGUAAAGCGUCUAGAGGUGGCUUUUUAAGUCCGCCGUCAAAUCCCAGGGCUCAACUCUGGACAGGCGGUGGAAACUACCAAGCUGGAGUACGGUAGGGGCAGAGAGAAUUUUCGGUGGAGCGGUAAAGCGCGCAGAGAUCGGAAAGAACACCAACAGCGAAAGCACGCUAGGCCGACACUGACACUGAGAGACGAAAGCUAGGGGAGCGAAUGGGAUUAGAUACCCCAGUAGUCCUAGCCGUAAACGACGGAUACUAGGCGCUAUGCGUAUCGACCCGUACAGUGUUGUAGCUAACGCGUUAAGUAUCCCCAGAUAAUCUAUAUU
rfam:Helianthus annuus linkage group 3, whole genome shotgun sequence.